UCAAGCGACUAAGCGCAUACGGUGGAUGCCUUGGCAGUCAGAGGCGAUGAAGGACGUAGUAGCCUGCGAAAAGCUUCGGGGAGUCGGCAAACAGACUUUGAUCCGGAGAUGUCCGAAUGGGGAAACCCACCUGGUGUAAGCCAGGUAUCCUGCACUGAAUACAUAGGUGUAGGAGGCGAACGAGGGGAACUGAAACAUCUAAGUACCCUUAGGAAGAGAAAUCAAUUGAGAUUCCCUCAGUAGCGGCGAGCGAACGGGGAAUAGCCUGCAAGUGAUAGCAGCGAGGUUAGUGGAACGGUCUGGAAAGUCCGGCGAUAGAGGGUGAUAGCCCCGUACACGAAAACUUUGCUGUGGUACUAAGCUUGCGACAAGUAGGUCGGGACACGAGUUAUCUUGACUGAACAUGGGGGGACCAUCCUCCAAGGCUAAAUACUACUGACUGACCGAUAGUGAACCAGUACCGUGAGGGAAAGGCGAAAAGAACCCCGGAGAGGGGAGUGAAAUAGAACCUGAAACCGUAUGCGUACAAGCAGUGGGAGCAGACUUGUUCUGUGACUGCGUACCUUUUGUAUAAUGGGUCAGCGACUUAUUGUCUGUAGCGAGCUUAACCGUUUAGGGGAGGCGUAGGGAAACCGAGUCUUAAUAGGGCGUCAUAGUUGCAGGCAAUAGACCCGAAACCGGGCGAUCUAUCCAUGGCCAGGGUGAAGGUUGAGUAACAUCAACUGGAGGCCCGAACCCACUUAUGUUGAAAAAUGAGGGGAUGAGCUGUGGAUCGGAGUGAAAGGCUAAUCAAGCCCGGAGAUAGCUGGUUCUCCUCGAAAUCUAUUUAGGUAGAGCCUCGCGUCUUACCCUGGGGGGUAGAGCACUGUUUCGGCUAGGGGGUCAUCCCGACUUACCAACCCGAUGCAAACUCCGAAUACCCAGGAGUACAAUCGCGGGAGACAGACAGCGGGUGCUAACGUCCGUUGUCAAGAGGGCAACAACCCAGACCGCCAGCUAAGGUCCCUAAUACCAGUUAAGUGGGAAACGAUGUGGGAAGGCUUAGACAGCUAGGAGGUUGGCUUAGAAGCAGCCAUCCUUUAAAGAAAGCGUAAUAGCUCACUAGUCGAGUCGGCCUGCGCGGAAGAUUUAACGGGGCUAAACUGGUAACCGAAGCUGCGGAUGCGUGCUUGCACGCAUGGUAGAGGAGCGUUCUGUAAGCCGUUGAAGGUGAACCGGGAGGUUUGCUGGAGGUAUCAGAAGUGCGAAUGCUGACAUGAGUAACGACAAGGGGAGUGAAAAACUCCCCCGCCGGAAGAUCAAGGUUUCCUGCGCAACGCUAAUCGGCGCAGGGUGAGUCGGCCCCUAAGGCGAGGCAGAAAUGCGUAGUCGAUGGGAAACGGGUUAAUAUUCCUGUACUUCUUUAUAUUGCGAUGGAGGGACGGAGUAGGCUAGGCCAUCAGGGCGUUGGUUGUCCCUGUUUAAGGUUGUAGGCUGGCGGUUUAGGUAAAUCCGGACUGCUAAGGCUGAGAGCUGAUGACGAGUGUUACUGAGAGGUAACGCGAAGUGGUUGAUGCCAUGCUUCCAAGAAAAGCUUCUAAGCUUCAGAUAUGAAGGAACCGUACUGUAAACCGACACAGGUGAUCAGGUAGAGAAUACCAAGGCGCUUGAGAGAACUCGGGUGAAGGAACUAGGCAAAAUGGUACCGUAACUUCGGGAGAAGGUACGCCGGUUUGGGUGAUGGGACUUGCUCCCUGAGCCUGGGCUGGCCGAAGUGACCAGGUGGCUGCGACUGUUUAUUAAAAACAUAGCACUCUGCAAACACGUAAGUGGACGUAUAGGGUGUGACGCCUGCCCGGUGCCGGAAGGUUAAUUGAUGGGGUUAUCUUCGGAGAAGCUCUUGAUCGAAGCCCCGGUAAACGGCGGCCGUAACUAUAACGGUCCUAAGGUAGCGAAAUUCCUUGUCGGGU
rnacentral:rRNA from 1 species